AAGUCGUAACAAGGUUUCCGUAGGUGAACCUGCGGAAGGAUCAUUACAGUAUUCUUUUGCCAGCGCUUAACUGCGCGGCGAAAAACCUUACACACAGUGAUUUUCUUUUCUUUGAAAACAUUGCUUUGGUCUGGCGCAAGUUGGGCCAAAGAUUUAUUAAACUUCAAUAUUUUUAUUGAAUUGUUAUUUUAACCAUAGUCAAUUUGUUGAUUAAAUUCAAAAAUCUUCAAAACUUUCAACAACGGAUCUCUUGGUUCUC
rnacentral:misc_RNA from 1 species